UCCAUCGUGAGGUGGGAUCCGAAGGAAGCUGGAGGCAAACCCACGGCCCGAUGAACAAGAACCUCAUACGAGGCUACGCCGUUCGGAUGAGCUGGCAAGACACAGCGAAAUCCAAAGGCUGCCAAAGGGCGGCGGCGGAGUAUAUGAGGCGGGCGCGGGGAAGGUCAACGCU
rnacentral:ncRNA from 1 species